rnacentral:rRNA from 1 species
AACGAACGCUGGCGGCAUGCCUAACACAUGCCAGUCGAACGAGACCUCCGGGACUAGUGGCGCCUGGGGGCGUCACACGUCGGAAGCUUCCCUUAUGGUUGGAAUAACUCUCCGACAGGGGUGCUAACACCGGAUAAUGUCUUCUGACCAAAGAUUUAUUGCCUUUGGAGGGGCGCGAGUUGGAUUCGCUGGUUGGUAGGGUAAAAGCCGACCAAGGCGACGAUCCAUAGCUGGUCAGAGAGGCUGGUCAGCAACACUGGGACGGGGACACGGCCGAGAAUCCUACGGGAGGCAGCAGUGGGGAAUAUUGGACAAUGGGGGAAGGCCUGAUCCAGCAAUGCCGCGUGAGUGAUGAAGGCCUUAGGGUUGUAAAGCUCUUUUACCCGGGAUGAUAAUGACGGUACCGGGAGAAUAAGCUCCGGCUAACUCCGUG